rnacentral:rRNA from 1 species
AGAGUUUGAUCCUGGCUCAGGAUGAACGCCGGCGGUGUGCCUAAUACAUGCAAGUCGUACGCACUGGCCCAACUGAUUGAUGGUGCUUGCACCUGAUUGACGAUGGAUCACCAGUGAGUGGCGGACGGGCGAGUAACACGUAGGUAACCUGCCUCGGAGCGGGGGAUAACAUUUGGAAACAGAUGCUAAUACCGCAUAACAACAAAAGCCACAUGGCUUUUGUUUGAAAGAUGGCUUUGGCUAUCACUCUGGGAUGAACCUGCGGUGCAUUAGCUAGUUGGUAAGGUAACGGCUUACCAAGGCAAUGAUGCAUAGCCGAGUUGAGAGACUGAUCGGCCACAAUGGAACUGAGACACGGUCCAUACUCCUACGGGAGGCAGCAGUAGGGAAUCUUCCACAAUGGGCGCAAGCCUGAUGGAGCAACACCGCGUGAGUGAAGAAGGGUUUCGGCUCGUAAAGCUCUGUUGUUGGAGAAGAACGUGCGUGAGAGUAACUGUUCACGCAGUGACGGUAUCCAACCAGAAAGUCACGGCUAACUACGUGCCAGCAGCCGCGGUAAUACGUAGGUGGCAAGCGUUAUCCGGAUUUAUUGGGCGUAAAGCGAGCGCAGGCGGUUGCUUAGGUCUGAUGUGAAAGCCUUCGGCUUAACCGAAGAAGUGCAUCGGAAACCGGGCGACUUGAGUGCAGAAGAGGACAGUGGGACUCCAUGUGUAGCGGUGGAAUGCGUAGAUAUAUGGAAGAACACCAGUGGCGAAGGCGGCUGUCUGGUCUGCAACUGACGCUGAGGCUCGAAAGCAUGGGUAGCGAACAGGAUUAGAUACCCUGGUAGUCCAUACCGUAAACGAUGAGUGCUAGGUGUUGGAGGGUUUCCGCCCUUCAGUGCCGGAGCUAACGCAUUAAGCACUCCGCAUGGGGGAGUACGACCGCAAGGUUGAAACUCAAAGGAAAUUGACGGGGGCCCGCACAAGCGGUGGAGCAUGUGGUUUAAUUCGAAGCUACGCGAAGAACCUUACCAGGUCUUGACAUCUUGCGCUAACCUUAGAGAUAAGGCGUUCCCUUCGGGGACGCAAUGACAGGUGGUGCAUGGUCGUCGUCAGCUCGUGUCGUGAGAUGUUGGGUUAAGUCCCGCAACGAGCGCAACCCUUGUUACUAGUUGCCAGCAUUAAGUUGGGCACUCUAGUGAGACUGCCGGUGACAAACCGGAGGAAGGUGGGGACGACGUCAGAUCAUCAUGCCCCUUAUGACCUGGGCUACACACGUGCUACAAUGGACGGUACAACGAGUCGCAAGCUCGCGAGAGUAAGCUAAUCUCUUAAAGCCGUUCUCAGUUCGGACUGUAGGCUGCAACUCGCCUACACGAAGUCGGAAUCGCUAGUAAUCGCGGAUCAGCAUGCCGCGGUGAAUACGUUCCCGGGCCUUGACUCACCGCCCGUCA